rnacentral:rRNA from 1 species
AGGAAGUAUUUAUUUAAACAAACCUAUUUAUGCCGGCGGCUUUUCAUCAAAUUAGAGGAACUUGUUUAUUAAUCGACAAUCCACGAUACUUUUCACUUUAAUUAACAAAUUUAUAUACCGCCAUCUAUGAACUCUUUUAAAAAUAUUAUCUCAAUAAAAAAUAAAAAGUUAGGUCAAGGUGUAGUUUAUAUUAAAGAUAAAAAUGAGUUACAUUUAAAAAAAUUAAAGGAAUUUAUUUACAAAAAUAAAAGAAAAAGGAUUUAAUAGUAAUAUAUACUAAAUAAAUACUUAUUAAUAACAAUAAUUAUAUAUGAAUUAUAUAAUAAAAGUGC